rnacentral:tRNA from 1 species
GGAGUUGUGGCUCAGUGGUAAAGUACUUGCCUAACAUGUGAGGCCCUGGGUUCGAUUCUCAGCACUCCA